rnacentral:rRNA from 1 species
GAUGAACGCUGGCGGCGUGCCUAACACAUGCAAGUCGAGCGAACAGAUGAGGAGCUUGCUUCUCUGACGUUACCGGCGGACGGGUGAGUAAUACGUGGCUUACCUACCUAACAGACUGGGAUAACUUCGGGAAACCGGAGCUCAUACCGGAUAAUAUAUUCAACCACAUGGUUUAAUAGUGAAAGACGCUUUCGCUGACCCUUAUAGAUGGUUCCGCGCUGGAUUAGCUAGUUGGUAAGGUAACGGCUUAUCAAGGCAACGAUGAGUAGCCGACCUGAGAGAGUGAUCUGGCAGACUGGAGCUGAGAGACGGUCAAGACUCCUACGAGAGGCAGCAGUAGGGAAUCUGGCACGAUGGGCGAAAGACUGACGGAGCAACGCCGCGUGAGUGAUGAAGGUCUUCUGAGCGUAAGACGCUGUUAUUAGGGAAGAACAGAUGUGUCAGUAACUAUGCACGACUUGACGGUACCUAAAGAGAAAGCGACGGCUAACUACGUG